AUGUGGGAGGGGCCGUGCGAGCCUUUGCGGGAAGCCGCCUACCCGCGCAGGCCCCGCCCCAGCAAAGCCCCGCCCCCGCGCGGACCCCGCCCCCGUCCCGGUCUCUUGCCGGGGAUGGAGGGAUGCUCCAUGUUAUCUGAUUCCCCCGGGUGUUUGGAAGCUUGGAGACUGGCUGGACGUGGCCCUUACCACGGGCGGGUAGGUGCCGCUCCUGUCCACCGCAAACCAAACUCCUGGGUGUACAGGCCGCGGAGUCCAAGCCUUGAGUACCCCCCUCCCCGGGCAUCGGAAGACUGGGAGAAGCUGCCCCCUUCGGAGUCUGGCCGGCCGUGUUGGAUCGGGGCGGGCCGCUGGGUGUGGAGGGGUUGGUGGGAGGACCGCCCACCCCAAGUCCUUCUCUCCCCUUGCCCUGGGCUCCGCGUGCACCUGGGCCCUCAGCUGCUCGGCCCCCUCUGGGGCAGCUGUGAGGUCACGUGGGACUGUGGCCUGCAGGCAAGGGCAGCUCAGGGCCCAGGGCGGGCCAGCCGUCAGCCCAGCGUCCCGGGCCGAGUUUGCCUUCCCAAGCCUGUCGACUCUGCAACCAGCAGCCCUUCACCCCCAGCUUUGUCCUCUUCUCGGAUGGAAGGGACAGAGGAGAGUCUUCCUUACAUGACUCACAUAGUGCAAAUUUAAAGCAUCGGUAAGGCCAAACUCUCCCUGAGGACUACGAGAGGUAUUCUGAGUAACUGUUAGGCAGAGUGGGUUUCGAAGGCACCCGUAGACCACAGCUCUGGGAUAUAAUAACCAAUAUGAUUAGAAUUGCUUGUACAGCAUCUUUGUGAAAACAUGGGAUUUUGGUGCUCACAUUUUCAGAAUUUGCAAUAAGCUCUUCUCAUUCCUUCUAUCUUCUUGGGCCACUUCUCACUGCUUGCCUCUACGGAUUAUAAUCUACAUGUAAUUUGUAGGUUAUUGGGUUUGGCUUAUAUAAAGUAACAAAGAACAGUAGAAGGAAGAGUCUCACCACUCAAUAUUGGUUAUGUUGCAAAAACCCAUUCCUGUGUUCUUCAUUUUUCAACAAAAGGAUAAUAGUGGUCAGGCCAUCCAUUGGCAUGUCUACUUGUUAUUUGUAUCAGAUGACAGAUCUGUACUUUGGAAAAGUGGUAUUUGUUCAAAGUAUUGGUGCUUGCUGUUGAAAAGGAGGGAGGGGAGAGGAUGGUAGGAAGGAAGAAGAAAGAAGGGAAAAGAAAAAAAGGAAGAAAGAAAGACAAGAGGGAGGAAGAAAGACAGCUGACGAAGAGAGGAAGGAACUAAUAUUUAUUUAGUACUUCCUGUAUGUCACUGAUUUUUGGAAAGUGGGUAUUAGUGACCCCAUUACGUAGGAGCUCAGUUGGUUUAAGUAACUUGUGCAUGUCAGGCAGCUGGUAAAUGGCAGAGUUGGAACUCAACCUCAAAUGAGUCUGUCUCUAAAUUCUAUGCUCUUUCUUUAUCCCAUGCUGCCUUCUAAUGUAGAAUGUUUUUGAGCCUGUUAUCCAGUGAAUGAUUUUGUCCAAACUUAAAAUACGUAAGCUCCUUAAUCACUGAUUUUUAACUUUUUUUUAUAGGUCAUGAAUCCCUUUGAGAAACUCGGGCAAGACAUGGCCCUCCCCAGGAAAAUACAUGCACACAUAAAGUAAUUUCAGAGAGUUCAUGGGCC
ensembl:lncRNA